CCCGGAACGCGCUCUGGGCGUGCUGAGCUCCACCUGCUCGUGCGUGAGCAGGACAAUUGGCGCCGCUGUCGCCUCGACAGAAAAGGAUAGGUGGCAGAGGGCGGGGCAAGCCUGCGCUGCGUUACCUCGGACGGUGCGCCCACGAUAACGCUCAUUCGCCUCUCGUUUAGCGUCCGCUAUGUAAACGUCCCUUGUUGUGAAUCUAAACAAAAUCAGUCAGUCGUCGUUUUGCUGCCGUGAGAGCAACGUGUCGAGAAUCCCGCAAUUGCGGGCGGACUAUGUUGUGCCAGUGAACGGGAUUUGGCACGAUGCACGCGCUGUUCGGUGAACAAAGUCCGUACGCGUACCGCAGUGGAGCAGCCAGCAGCUACCCGGCCAGUGUAACCCCUUAUGCUUACGAACAGUACCGAUACGGUUAUGGAGCACCUUAUCUUCAUCCGCAUCAGCAACACGUUGGAGCACCCAAAGACAUGGUUAAGCCACCGUACUCCUACAUAGCGCUCAUAGCUAUGGCGAUUCAAAAUGCCCCUGAACGUCGUAUCACGCUUAACGGAAUAUAUCAGUUCAUAAUGGAGAGAUUUCCGUAUUACAGAGAGAACAAGCAGGGGUGGCAGAAUUCCAUCAGACACAAUUUAAGUUUAAAUGAAUGUUUUGUGAAGGUGGCGCGCGAUGACAAGAAACCUGGUAAAGGAAGUUAUUGGACAUUAGACCCAGAUUCGUAUAAUAUGUUCGAUAAUGGAUCGUACUUACGCCGUCGCCGUCGAUUUAAAAAGAAAGAUGCCUUGAAGGAAAAAGAAGAAGCUAUAAAACGUCAGCAGCAGCUGCAACAGGCGCAGGAGGCGCUAGCUGCACAGGAAGCGCUGAGCGCCGCCGAUGCGUUAGGACAAACGCGUGAUGUAAAGCCAGACGUGAAACCACGUAUCUUUGAAUGUCGGCCUAAACGUGAGCCUGGUGCAGAAUGCGUUCGUUAUGACAAACCUGCAGAUGCUCUUGACGACUUUAGCGAACCUCGACUGCCACCUUCAGCCGUGUACUGUUCACCGCAACCUUAUUCGUUGGCAGCCGAAGAGUUCCGAGCAGCAACUGGCUGGUACACGGCUCCGGAACCGCCGACAGAACAGCUGCCACCAGCGUUUCGCGACAUAUUUGAUCCGCCAAGUUGUCAAUUAGCAGGAUUUCGUGGUGGUUCACCGCCGUCGGAUGCUUACCGCACUUCGUCACCGCCACAUCAUCACUACCGCACUCCGGCUCCUUCUUAUUAUCAUCACCAAGCAUGUGUAGCUGCCGUGCCCACACCAGCCCACAAGUCUUACUGAGACAUUGCCCUCAGGAGAACGGCAUCGUACGGCGCCGAACGGAUUUAGCCGCGCGCCUCAGUUCCAGGGCGGAUAAAUAUAGCCGGUAGCCGCAGAUGCCGUGGAGGCAAGUGUCGGCGCGUCGAUAACAACUGUUUACAGAUCGGCGGCCGACCCUGACGCCUCCCGCUCCGUUCAGAUCUAUAGGUUUGACGGCUUGAGACAGCGGGAGGUGCGAGUACAGGGAAAAACGAGAAUGUGUCAUCGUCAUAUUGAAUAGUAAAUACUGACUAUAUGACUGUUGCGGACAAAGUACCAUGUACAGACAAUUUUAAUUUAAUAUUUACCCGCCGAUGGAUCCUCUGGAUGCGCGAGCGCAGGGCUCCAGUGUGUUGCUGGACAUUGAUCUCGACUUAAACGAAUUCUCAUAUAUUCAUAAACAGGUGUGAGUGUGACAGUUAUGAAUUGUCACAAACGUUAGAUUUACGAGUGGUGUCUUUUAAAUUUGGACGAUUUCAAUUCACCGAUGGAUACCUAAUAAAAAUCUUAUUAGAAUACAUUUAGAUUAAGUCUAUUAUAGAAAGCAUUAAUGUAUAGUACCAGAAGACUUGUUUAGUGUGUAUAUUUGUUCACUAGAGGUCUUGUAGAUAAGAUGAGAUCAUAAAUUAGGUAAAAGUAUGUAGUUCGUUAAAUUAUCCAGUUCAUAGAAAUAAUUUACUUUUGCCAUUCACUGGUUACAUUACGGGAUGUGGAUUAAAAGUAACUUAGGUUCUUAUUUCAUGUAAAUAAAUAAAGAACAUGGUGAU